CAUAGGACGGCCGCAGGGAAUGGGGCCAGCGGCUAAAGUUCUUCGCGCUCAUGGAUGUCUCUUGUUUCCCGGUUUGGCUCCUCCGACCAUAGUCAAGUAUGACGGCUGGGAGGUCCAGCUUUAUAGAGUAGAGAGAUUUUGCCAGAAAGCUUACAAAAAUACCGUCCUAGGCUUGGUGCUGGCGAGGACGCCGGGGUUGUGAUGUGGACUGAGCCGCCUAGCGGCCUGGGUAGAGCCCAGUCAGGGCCGAGCUUCCGGCCGAGCACCGGGGGCUCACACCUCGGGGCUCGUACACUGUGUCUUCGUGGUGGACAGAGUUUGCUUUGCUUUCUGCCAAUCACACCGUUGGGACCUAUCUGAACCGUUUUCUGUAUCUUUGCUCCUGCUGUCUCGGAACAGUCUGAACAUCCUGCCCCGGGAGCAUGACAGUUGUUUGACUACAAACCUGGAGAUAAGAAGGAGGGCUGUGUAAUGAUAGUUGAACCUGGGGUCAAAAGAGCUGCUUCCAAACUUAACGUUGAGAAGGAAGUCCCCUGUGGAGUGUUCUUUGCUCUGUAAGCCUAUGAAUCUGCUGAGACCGGUCUAUUUUCGAUGCCUCUGAAAACCUGUCUGUAACUGAGCCAGGCCUGUGCUCCCUUUGAGGGGAAAUUUCUGUGAUCUCCAAACACUGGCAUUAAAGCUGUUCUCUUUCCCUGUCUUUGCCACCUACCACUGCUUCUUAAUUCCUUCCCCCGCGUCCCCCGCCGUUUUAAAAAAACUUACCAAGCUGGGCUUCUGAAACAUUGUGCAAAAGGCCUUCAUGAACUUGUGGACACAGAAUUGAAUAACAAAAAACCGAAAUCGGAAAAUGUGAUGCCCCCAGGGAAGAUGGUGGUUAUGGAUGGAACCUCAUCACAUAUUCAGAGUGCCCUGGAUUUCAUCAAUAUCUCCAGCUGACUCAUCCUGCUGAAAGAGGCUGGAGAAGGACCAGGGACGAUACUGUGAAUGCUGUCUCAGAGCUGUGGGGAAGAAAUGAGCGGCACUUCUUGCUUAGGGUCCCGGAGUCAUGACUUUCUGAUUAAUGCUCUCAACACCUAGCGAAUCAGCACCAGCACUGCGCUCUGUGAGGGGCGGACAUGAACGUCAUUCCAGGAAGAGAUUCAGAAUGAAAACAUUGAAUGGUCAUUCUGGCUGCUACGUUGACAACGGACUGCAGGGGGCCAGGGAAGACCAGUGAGUGGUCUGGGGAAGCUGUCCAGGAGAGGGGUGAGGGCGGUUCAGACCAGGAUGGCAGCAGCGGUAGUGGAGAGAAGCAGGUAGGUUCUGGUUAUAAUUGUAAAGCUGAAGACAGAGUCCACAGGAUCUGCUGCUACUUGGAUUUGGGAUGUAAAAUAAAGAGAGGAGUCCAGGGUGCCAGCCCUUCUCAGUAGCACCUGCCAAGGGUCUCCAGAGGUUCCUUUUUCUGUACCUGCAGACCCUCCCCUCCCUGAGUCCCAGGAGACCUCUCUCCUUCCACCUGCUGGCCUCCCCACAGCUUGGCUUGACCUUCUGAGAUCAGGGUUGGAAAUGCCCAGGACACAUUUGGAGCCUAUUGGGACAUCCUGGGUGAAGCCUUAAAGAAGAUAGAGCAAGGAGGAUGAAGAAAAUUUCCAGGCUUUGGGUGCAGAGAUGUGCAUAGUUCUUUUUUUUUUUUAAUUGAAUUACAGUCAGUUACAAUGUGUCUAUUUCUGGUGUACACCAUAAUGUCCCAGUCAUGCAUAUAUAUAUAUAUACAUAUAUUCGUUUUCAUAUUCUUUUUCAUUAAAGGUUAUUACAAGAUAUUGAAUAUAGUUCCCUGUGCUAUAAAGAAGAAAUUUGUCUUUUUAUCUGUUUUUAAAUAUAGUGGUUAACAUUUGCAAAUCUCAAACUUCCAAAUUUAUC